GUGGGGAAUUUUGGACAAUGGGCGCAAGCCUGAUCCAGCGACGCCGCGUGGAGGACGAAGGCCUUCGGGUUGUAAACUCCUUUUGGAGGGGAAGAAUAAAUUGACGGUACCCUCAGAAAAAGCCACGGCUAACUACGUGCCAGCAGCCGCGGUAAUACGUAGGUGGCGAGCGUUACUCGGAAUUACUAGGCGUAAAGCGUAUGUAGGUGGUUAGAUAAGUCUAUGGUGAAAUUUCCUGGCUUAACUGGGAAGGGACAUAGAUACUAUCUGGCUUGAGUGUGGGAGGGGGAGACGGAAUUCCUGGUGUAGCGGUGAAAUGCGUAGAUAUCAGGAGGAACACCGAUGGCGAAAGCAGUCUCCUGGCCCAAUACUGACACUGAGGUACGAAAGCUAGGGUAGCAAACAGGAUUAGAAACCCGGGUAGUCC
rnacentral:rRNA from 1 species